rnacentral:miRNA from 1 species
GAAAGAGAAGCGGAGAAGACAAAGGGAUUUUGGGCGAAUAAAGCACCAAUUUGUGCGAGCGAUUUCCAUCCCACUAGAAUAUUCGCCCAAAAUCCCUUCGUCUUCUCCGCUUCUUUUUCUCCA